AGAGAUUCUCCAACCAAGUUUCUUUUAUUUUGCCAAAGGCUAGCAAGGAUAGGGUACGUUACCCUAAGCCUCAACGGGGAAAAAGUAGUAGUUCACCAAGUGUGAAACCUAAUUGUGCCAAAUAUUUCAAGAAGCAUAUGGGUAAAUGUCUUGUGGGUAUGAACAAUUGUUUUCGUUGGGGAGAAGUGGUCAUAUGGUGAGGUAUUGUCCCAUGAGCAAGAAUCAAGAUAGGGAGAGUAACCAAGCACAAGCAAGUUAUUCUAAUCCCGGUGCUCCUAACACUACAAACAAGCACAUAUUUUUUGGAGGUUUUAUUAGGGAGGUCAAUUCAACCCCCUGUAAUUUGGUUAAAUUAUAGAGGAUUAAUUAACCCCUGGAAUUUUGAUACAACUACCAGGGGUUUGUCAACCUUAGCUAUCCUUAAUAUUUAAAUUUUAUAACAUCACAGAGCUACUUUAAACCUCAUUUUUUUCCGGAGCAACAAAAAAUCUAACUAUCUCACAUUAUUAUACUGAACUCAUCGAGUAUUAUCAGCCAAAAUUGCUUUGAACUCCAUCUGUUCUAUAUGGUGGCGGAGCUACCUACCACCGUCUUCCUGCUCAAUAGAGUGGUCGGAGCAAGAAUGAAGAUAUGAGGUGGCGAUGAGGAUUGUUUGUACGAAAAGGCUCUGAUUGGUAAAUCAAAUGUUCCUUUCGAGAUUUGUGUCCUCCAGCAUUAUCGUCAGAUUGUGUCGAAGUUCAACUUUAAUCUGGUAUGUGUUUGUUGGGUCCUUGAUUUCCCUGAAGUGAUGGAAUCUGUCUACAGUAUCCGUUUAGCAUUUAGUUUUUCUUCGUGUUUAUAACUUUUACUUUCUGAGACAAAAUAUUAAUAGUGGCUUCUAAUCAAAUGAUUGGACUGAAAUCAAGUCCUUAGUUUAACUAUCAACAUUUGUGGAUUUUCUUCAAUGUUUUAUCCUCAUCUGUUUUUUUUAGAAGUUAUUUUUUAAGUUGUUAAUUUGUACUCCACUUUGUUUUAGAAUUGAUUGAUGAUGUUAAGACUUAACCACUCAAGGUUCAAUAAUCUACAUGCAACUACUUAUAGGAAGUGGGGCUCUGUCUCUCAGAAAGACAUUGUUUUGGCUUAUAUUUAAUAGUUAGAGAGGAAAACUUCAGACACCAAGGACGUGAAUUAGUGCUCAAUGAAACAUUGGGUGAUUUCUUCGUGUAGACACUAAGAUCACUCUCUGCAAACUGGUGCACAAUAACAAUGGUAUGAGGCCAUGAUAAGUUUUAUGAACAAACCUAGGAUCUUGGUUUGUAUGUUUGAGUUUUAUGCUUGAGAAAGACAAAGUAACUGACAUCUGUUUGAUAUUUAUCAUCGUAUAUAACUGGAUGUAAGUCUAAUUUUUAGCACUUCCUUGAAACAACUCCUUAGUUAUGUCUUUCCCAGCAGUGUUUCUUCAAUAAUGGCUCUGUUACAACUCGUAUGGAUAAGAUUGUCUAGGGAGCAAGAAUAAAGUCAAACUAUAGUAUAAUAUAUAUAAAAAGUUCAGAAUAACAUAUGCAUGUCGGCUUGUACUCUAGCAGGUCCAGCAUGUUGAUCGUUUUCAGUAUUUCCUUUACAAGCAAAAGUUACUUGUGUGUGCAGCAGCACUUUAUGCUAAAAUACCUAUUCUCGAUGUGUACUCUUAUUCUACAGAUACUAUAUGCUCCGUCACUCAAAUGAGAAUAAUUAUGUACUUACAGUUUUCGGCAUACAGAAUGAAGCAGUAAGCACUACUUUAUAAUGUUUAAUUGUUUCUUGGUACAUUUAUCCAUUAGGAAGUUGAUACUUCAAGGACAAAAAGAAACAAAAUGGAAAAGAAUUGAAAAAUGACGCAAGAACUAAAUUUUCACAUCAUUACUUAACAAACUACUCUUCUUGACAGAGUAAACAAGGAGAUCAAGUCACACUAUUGGACCCCAUUUGCAAAUUUGUUUAUAUUGAAUUUGAAGACAGUACAAACUAGGGUACACUUAUUAGCUAUGUUAUCAAAUACAUGAAGAGGAUCUUGUGCAUAAAUUCCCCUUCGUUUCGAUUUGUUUGUGUUGCUUUCUUUCUUUAGCCCGUUUAGAAACUGUCUUCUUUGACCCUAUUUUUUUAUUUUAGAGUGAAAUGAACCAGCAGCUUGGAGACUUCUGGCCUUGAUGUUCUCAGGGAUUUAGUUCUCUACCUUAUCAAGGAAAUUUUAUUGCUCAAGGUGUUUAGACUUCUGGCCUUUAAGUUUGCAUAUAAAAGUUAGUUGCUUUUAUGAUUAGAAUCUUGAUAUCUACCUAUAACACUAAUAUACUUGCGACUUCUUGGUUUCGUAUUUCAAACUUAUGCUCGUGUUCAAUCCAGAGCAAUUUUAAAACAUGUAGUGUGAUCUUGUUCUUUCAAGUAUACUUGUUUCUAUUCUACCUGAUUCAAACAUUCAAUUCAUUACCUUUCUAAUGACAAUUAGCAGAGUCCGAAGGACCGGACAGACCAGCAGGUUAGAAGCUGAAGGUCAGAACUAAAAUAAGGGUUACUUUGCACUUUCCUCUAUUCAAAUUCGAUACUUAGUUGUGCUAAACACGAGGGCUUUUCUUUUUCUUAUCUAUCUUUGGCCUAUUUUACUAUUGUCUUAUUCUAAACUUGAAGUAGUUGUUGUCUCUCUUGUUCUUGGUCUCUGUGUUGUGUUACUUCCUUAAGAUGUAAUAUUGGGGAUAUCCAAAAGUCAGGUAAACUGGAAUCUUUUUUCAGCAGGCCAAGGAUUGAGCAGUGCUUAUUCUUAAGUUGCUAUUUUUUUUAUAUGUUUUUUGGUUCAUUUGUUAAUUAGAACUGAAGUAGCAAGAAGAAAAAGAUGUAGGCUUUUCAUUUUUCAUCAGGCCAAGCUAUGUGACCAGUGAGUUUUCUUUUGCUCGUUCUUUCUCGACUGGUAAUCAACUGUGUUGUGAAACUACUAUUUAAUAAUGUUACGAGGUGGUAGCCAUGUGUGGUAAAAGGCGGUGCUUACACUGUAACCUUAAUGUCAGUCUCAUCUACAACUUCAUCCAACUUUCUUUUGAUCUUGAAGUUCUGAUCAUAUUUCAUCUCCUAAUUGGCUCCAUUCUCAAGAAUUGGGGCUUGUGUUGUUCCAACUCAGGUGCCAAUUAAGGAGGUGAGAAUUUCUCCACUCUCAAAGAGUAUCGGAAAGCCAAGGGUUCAAAGCAAACUAGUGGCAACAAACUGCAUUUGCUUCGCCAUUGGACUAUGGAGGAUGUGUAUGUAUUUCCCCAAAGAAAUGUUUUCUCCAUAAGCUCAUUUGCAGUUACUCAUAAUGGAGAUAAUCAAAGUAAUGAAACUGCUGGAAGUGGUGAUUCCUUGAAUGAACAGGAGUAUAGACAUACUAUUGAACUUGAAGAUGAUGAUAGAAAGGUUGAAGAAGUUUUGGAAUAUCUAAAACAAAUGGAGAAUGACGCUAAACUGAAGCAUCUGGCAGAGCAAACUUAGAGAACUGCAAAAACAUGUCAAGGAGUAUUGAUGCAGUUAUGAAGACUAAUACUUGCUAAAAGUGCAGUGAUGAGCAAUUCAAGAGUAGUAAGAAGGUCAAUACUCUUAUGCUUGGAUUCUCAUAGUUCUGUGAGAGCCAUUCUGUUCUAUAUUUUGUACAAGGGAAGUCAUAAAAUGUUGAUGGUGUUGCGUACUAGGUUCUUAGUCAAUGAAGAAAUUUGUAUCUCUUUCCAGAAGCAUACCAGGCAAGUGGAGACUCAAUCUCAACAUCCUUAAUAUGUGCAAAUAAACGAAAAACUCCGCUAUACUAAUUUGCUUGCCCGAAGGGAGGAUAUAAUCUUAUCUUUCUUAGGCUUGUA